AGAAAAUUUAAAAGGGGUCGAAUGCCAGCAAUGUAAAAAGUUUUAUGAUGCUGUUCUCCCUGGUGAAGAUAAGGACUCCAAUGGUAAUAGGCAAAAUCUACGGUGUGAGCAUCAUGAUGGAGUUUCAAGGCAUCGAUACCGGUAUGCACCUCCUUUAACUCCUGAAGGAUUUUGGAAUAUUGGGUUUGAAUCUGAAAUGUGAUCUCCUUGGAGAAUUUUUCUCAUGCUCUUUAGAGUUANNNNNNNNNNNNNNAUUAUUAUGCACCUCCUUUAACUCCUGAAGGAUUUUGGAAUAUUGGGUUUGAAUCUGAAAUGUGAGCUCCUUGGAGAAUUGUUUCAAGGCUCUGUACUGUAGAAAAUUGUGAACUAGUGAAACUCUUUCUGCAAUUCUGUUCUAACAAUAAUGACAUUGAUGUAAGGUUAAUGCAAAACCUACAUCAGCUUCUAUCUGAUAAGCUCUCUUCCCAGUUGUAAUUUGUUGGUAUGAUCCAAUUGUUUUUAGGCCCUUUAAAGUUCAAGUUAGAAAUUUGUGAACUAGUAAAACUCAUUGUUCAUUCUGUUUUAACGUUAAAGAGACUGAUGUAAAUCCAGUGCCAAAGCUGCAUUAUUUUCUAAUGAAAAUAAUGCUUUCUUCAGUUGUAAUUUGUUCGUAUGAUCCGACCAAUCAUUGUAUAAACUAGAAGGUAUUAGAGAUACUUGAUAUGCAAGCAUGUACUUGUAGCUUUAUGAUUUUUGGGCCUUGGUAUGGUUUGAUGUGAUGGUUUUGAUAUGCCAAAGUUGACAAAAUAUUGUCUAAUUUCUUGUCAGAUUAUCUAGCCAAGUCUUGUUUAAAGUUGAUCUUGUCAAACUUCUUCCAACUCGAGCUUAAUCACUGUUGUGCGAGCAUUUUGGUUUGAACUUGUGGCUUG
rnacentral:lncRNA from 1 species